GGGCCCGUGGCUCAGCCUGGUGGAGCAUCCGGCUGAUAACCGGGGGGUCCCGGGUUCGAAUCCCGGCGGGCCCACCA
rnacentral:tRNA from 3 species